rnacentral:rRNA from 1 species
GACGUAGGGCGCGAGCGUUGUCCGGAUUUAUUGGGCGUAAAGAGCUCGUAGGCGGCUUGUCGCGUCGUUCGUGAAAACUUGGGGCUCAACCCCAAGCUUGCGGUCGAUACGGGCAGGCUGGAGUUCGGUAGGGGAGACUGGAAUUCCUGGUGUAGCGGUGAAAUGUGCAGAUAUCAGGAGGAACACCGGUGGCGAAGGCGGGUCUCUGGGCCGAUACUGGCGCUGAGGAGCGAAAGCGUGGGGAGCGAACAGG